GGUCAAGUGAAGAAGCGCAUACGGUGGAUGCCUUGGCAGUCAGAGGCGAUGAAAGACGUGGUAGCCUGCGAAAAGCUUCGGGGAGUCGGCAAACAGACUUUGAUCCGGAGAUCUCUGAAUGGGGGAACCCACCUAGGAUAACCUAGGUAUCUUGUACUGAAUCCAUAGGUGCAAGAGGCGAACCAGGGGAACUGAAACAUCUAAGUACCCUGAGGAAAAGAAAUCAACCGAGAUUCCCUUAGUAGUGGCGAGCGAACGGGGAUUAGCCCUUAAGCUUCAUUGAUUUUAGCGGAACGCUCUGGAAAGUGCGGCCAUAGUGGGUGAUAGCCCCGUACGCGAAAGGAUCUUUGAAGUGAAAUCGAGUAGGACGGAGCACGAGAAACUUUGUCUGAACAUGGGGGGACCAUCCUCCAAGGCUAAAUACUACUGACUGACCGAUAGUGAACCAGUACCGUGAGGGAAAGGCGAAAAGAACCCCGGAGAGGGGAGUGAAAUAGAACCUGAAACCGUAUGCGUACAAGCAGUGGGAGCCUACUUGUUAGGUGACUGCGUACCUUUUGUAUAAUGGGUCAGCGACUUAUAUUCAGUGGCAAGCUUAACCGUAUAGGGUAGGCGUAGCGAAAGCGAGUCUUAAUAGGGCGUUUAGUCGCUGGGUAUAGACCCGAAACCGGGCGAUCUAUCCAUGAGCAGGUUGAAGGUUAGGUAACACUGACUGGAGGACCGAACCCACUCCCGUUGAAAAGGUAGGGGAUGACUUGUGGAUCGGAGUGAAAGGCUAAUCAAGCUCGGAGAUAGCUGGUUCUCCUCGAAAGCUAUUUAGGUAGCGCCUCAUGUAUCACUCUGGGGGGUAGAGCACUGUUUCGGCUAGGGGGUCAUCCCGACUUACCAAACCGAUGCAAACUCCGAAUACCCAGAAGUGCCGAGCAUGGGAGACACACGGCGGGUGCUAACGUCCGUCGUGAAAAGGGAAACAACCCAGACCGCCAGCUAAGGUCCCAAAGUUGUGGUUAAGUGGUAAACGAUGUGGGAAGGCUUAGACAGCUAGGAGGUUGGCUUAGAAGCAGCCACCCUUUAAAGAAAGCGUAAUAGCUCACUAGUCGAGUCGGCCUGCGCGGAAGAUGUAACGGGGCUCAAACCACACACCGAAGCUGCGGGUGUCACGUAAGUGACGCGGUAGAGGAGCGUUCUGUAAGCCUGUGAAGGUGAGUUGAGAAGCUUGCUGGAGGUAUCAGAAGUGCGAAUGCUGACAUGAGUAACGACAAUGGGUGUGAAAAACACCCACGCCGAAAGACCAAGGGUUCCUGCGCAACGUUAAUCGACGCAGGGUUAGUCGGUUCCUAAGGCGAGGCUGAAAAGCGUAGUCGAUGGGAAACAGGUUAAUAUUCCUGUACUUCUGGUUACUGCGAUGGAGGGACGGAGAAGGCUAGGCCAGCUUGGCGUUGGUUGUCCAAGUUUAAGGUGGUAGGCUGAAAUCUUAGGUAAAUCCGGGGUUUCAAGGCCGAGAGCUGAUGACGAGUCGUCUUUUAGAUGACGAAGUGGUUGAUGCCAUGCUUCCAAGAAAAGCUUCUAAGCUUCAGGUAACCAGGAACCGUACCCCAAACCGACACAGGUGGUCGGGUAGAGAAUACCAAGGCGCUUGAGAGAACUCGGGUGAAGGAACUAGGCAAAAUGGCACCGUAACUUCGGGAGAAGGUGCGCCGGCUAGGGUGAAGGAUUUACUCCGUAAGCCCUGGCUGGUCGAAGAUACCAGGCCGCUGCGACUGUUUAUUAAAAACACAGCACUCUGCAAACACGAAAGUGGACGUAUAGGGUGUGACGCCUGCCCGGUGCCGGAAGGUUAAUUGAUGGGGUUAGCGCAAGCGAAGCUCUUGAUCGAAGCCCCGGUAAACGGCGGCCGUAACUAUAACGGUCCUAAGGUAGCGAAAUUCCUUGUCGGGUAAGUUCCGACCUGCACGAAUGGCGUAACGAUGGCGGCGCUGUCUCCACCCGAGACUCAGUGAAAUUGAAAUCGCUGUGAAGAUGCAGUGUAUCCGCGGCUAGACGGAAAGACCCCGUGAACCUUUACUGUAGCUUUGCACUGGACUUUGAGCCUGCUUGUGUAGGAUAGGUGGGAGGCUUUGAAGCGUGGACGCCAGUUCGCGUGGAGCCAUCCUUGAAAUACCACCCUGGCAUGCUUGAGGUUCUAACUCUGGUCCGUGAUCCGGAUCGAGGACAGUGUAUGGUGGGCAGUUUGACUGGGGCGGUCUCCUCCUAAAGAGUAACGGAGGAGUACGAAGGUGCGCUCAGACCGG
rnacentral:rRNA from 1 species